ensembl:lncRNA
UAUAAACUGUCUGACUCCACCCACUACACCCUAGCAACCGCCUAGCUCAGCACUCAUGCUCAUCAUAACAUACAAACUUGUAUUUUGAUACUGAAUUGGUGGCACGUUGGGUUAAAGGCGUCGCUGUGCCUUUAAGAGCAUGCUGAGCCGCAUCACUUAUGCUGGAGCAUCUAAUGAUGCUUUAAGCACAAUGUCUAAUUGAGUUACAUGCUGAUGCACCAGCCCACCUCAUCCACAGCAACGUCUCGAGGCAGAACAGCCUGCUGGGAGCGUCACAUUUCAGGGGAAGCCAAAUAAACAAGAACAGGUGAGCGCAAGAGUACAUGCAUGAAUCAAAGCAGCUGAGACUAACAAGUGGUUGCCAAGCUGAAGAGCAGAGAGAGAUAGAGAGAGAGAGAGAGAGUGUUUGCAGGGACACACAGAGCAGCUCAGAAAGCGCAGGCGACAGACAGCAGGGCUGUGAAAGCAUUCAGUCGCAGAUUUCUGUCUCUCACUCCACCCACCAGCAUCUUUUUUUCAGGAGCAGUCCAGCCUCUCCUGUGGAACUCCUGCUGGCUGUGCGCAGGGCUCGGCUCGCUCUUCUGCAGUGAUGAGGGGUACGACAGCAAGCGCCUACAACAGGUCUGACAGAAUGAGGCCAAAAUGAAGGCGUCCAUCUGUCCGCGCUGAUCGCCACCCUUCGGACACAUGCAGGAUGACGGGGCUCGUCUGGGAACAUGUGUAGCGUUCACUAUAACCACAGCCUAGCUGCCAUGAGCGGGAGUGACAUCAUGGCCUAUUCUCUGAGUCUGGAGCAGAAGACGGCGUUUGCGUUCGUGGGGAUGUUGCUGGUGUUUCUCGGCCUGUUGAUCGUCAGGUGUUUCCGGAUCCUGCUGGACCCUUACAGUAGCAUGCCAUCCUCCAGCUGGGGCGACGGCCUGGAGGGCCUUGAAAAAGGGACAUUUGAAUACGCUCUAACCUGAGACCACGUUCCCAAAGACGCCAAACCCCCCGUCCAUGGCUUCAUACUAGAGCCCCCUGAAUCAUAUAAAGCCUUUGCACCAUAUGGGGGCAUGCACACAGGAUGCAUUCCAGAUGCAUAACGUUGGGCAAAACUUGGAGCUUGAUACACCUUCCUUGAAAUAGGUAAUGUUUGGUGAUGCAAUGGCCAAAGAUGUCUAUUUGAUGCAUGCACAUACUGACAGGGUUGCAAAGGGGUGGAACAUUUCAGAGACUUUCCAGAAAUUUUGGAAGCUUUCCGGGAUUUUUUGGAAACCGUUGGGAAUUUUCAGAAACUUUUGGAAUGUUUCCAGAAAUUUUCCACCCCUUUGCAACCCUAUACACUGAUCAACGACAUACUGUAGCAGCAACGGAUCACAAGAAUGAGUCCUGUGUGAACGCCCCUAAAGGGUGCGAGAAUUCAUCCAAACGACACACACUGUGACGCAUGCCCUGCUGUUACGACAUCAUACUAAGAAAGACAUAGAUUUUUGGAAUAUGAUGUCACACCAUUUAGCCACUGGGCAUCUCAGGGAAGAGCAGAGAAAGACUUGAAUUAAAGGAGACAAGAUGGCACACGUGCAAGACAAUGCCGGGAUGUAAACAGGGUAAUCUGGCCCUUUCAUUCAUGAUGUCCGUCUAGCUUCCACCCCGUUUAGUGAUGAAGUACGAGGACUGCAUGCUUACAAUGCGCCACGCAAACAUUCACAUACUUGAGUACGUUUCCGGCCUAGCUCUCCUGUUUACCGUCGUCUGGGAUCUCGAGGCCAAUCGAGCUAAAAUAACCUGCUGUUUUUGAGAAGUAUUAAGCUGUGAAGUCUUAACAUCUCUGUAGACCUGUGUCUGCUUUUCUAGCAAACAUUAGCAAUCCGUUUCUCUUCACUUACUGCCUAUGAACACAUCUGCACACAAGCCGCAGAGACUCUGCAGGACGCUGAGAGUGAAGAUUCUUCUGAAAUUGUGACACAUCCUGCCACCUCCGUGUUUGUUUGUUUGUUUGUGUGUGUGACAGAGGAAGGGUGUGUCACUAUGACAACAGCAGAAAAACGCGAGCUGGAUGCGAGUGAUGCACCAAUGAAAGCGUAGCUCAUCUCCAGUGUUCUAGUGCUGUGAAUCUGCCUUACUGGAUUUCUGUGCCUUCAUUUAGCAACGGUAGCGUAUCUCUCACAGGAUGAUCUGUGUUUGUGUGCAUCCGUGUGUGUGUGUGUGUGUGUGUGUGUGUGUGUGUGGGUUCAUGUGAUGAUGAAGACCACUGUUCUUUGUGUUUCUCUGAUGCUGAGGAGGGCACAACGUCCCUCGCUGCGAUGGUCUGUGUUCAUCUGCUGGAAUAAAAC